GACGAACGCUGGCGGCGUGCUUAACACAUGCAAGUCGAACGAAGUGGCGAACGGGUGAGUAACGCGUAAUCAACCUGCCCUUCAGAGGGGGACAACAGUUGGAGACGACUGCUAAUACCGCAUACUGAAGGAGGGGAUUGCGUCUGAUUGGCUAGUUGGAGGGGUAACGGCCCACCAAGGCGAUGAUCAGUAGCCGGUCUGAGAGGGUGAACGGGCACCUGUGGACUUGGACAAGGCCCAGACUUCUACGGGAGGCAGCAGUGGGGAAGCUUCCGCAAUGGACGAAAGUCUGACGGAGCAACGCCGCGGGAGUGAUGACGGCCUUCGGGUUGGAAAGCUCUGUUAAUCGGGACGCGGUACCGGAAUAGAAAGCCACGGCUAACUACGUGCCAGCAGCCGCGGUAAUUC
rnacentral:rRNA from 1 species